rnacentral:rRNA from 1 species
CUUUGGGGGGGGGGCUAAUACAUGCAAGUCGAACGAGUUCUGAUUAUUGAAAGGUGCUUGCAUCUUGAUUUAAUUUUGAACGAGUGGCGGACGGGUGAGUAACACGUGGGUAACCUGCCCUUAAGUGGGGGAUAACAUUUGGAAACAGAUGCUAAUACCGCAUAAAUCCAAGAACCGCAUGGUUCUUGGCUGAAAGAUGGCGUAAGCUAUCGCUUUUGGAUGGACCCGCGGCGUAUUAGCUAGUUGGUGAGGUAACGGCUCACCAAGGCAAUGAUACGUAGCCGAACUGAGAGGUUGAUCGGCCACAUUGGGACUGAGACACGGCCCAAACUCCUACGGGAGGCAGCAGUAGGGAAUCUUCCACAAUGGACGCAAGUCUGAUGGAGCAACGCCGCGUGAGUGAAGAAGGCUUUCGGGUCGUAAAACUCUGUUGUUGGAGAAGAAUGGUCGGCAGAGUAACUGUUGUCGGCGUGACGGUAUCCAACCAGAAAGCCACGGCUAACUACGUGCCAGCAGCCGCGGUAAUACGUAGGUGGCAAGCGUUAUCCGGAUUUAUUGGGCGUAAAGCGAGCGCAGGCGGUUUUUUAAGUCUGAUGUGAAAGCCCUCGGCUUAACCGAGGAAGUGCAUCGGAAACUGGGAAACUUGAGUGCAGAAGAGGACAGUGGAACUCCAUGUGUAGCGGUGAAAUGCGUAGAUAUAUGGAAGAACACCAGUGGCGAAGGCGGCUGUCUGGUCUGUAACUGACGCUGAGGCUCGAAAGCAUGGGUAGCGAACAGGAUUAGAUACCCUGGUAGUCCAUGCCGUAAACGAUGAAUGCUAGGUGUUGGAGGGUUUCCGCCCUUCAGUGCCGCAGCUAACGCAUUAAGCAUUCCGCCUGGGGAGUACGACCGCAAGGUUGAAACUCAAAGGAAUUGACGGGGGCCCGCACAAGCGGUGGAGCAUGUGGUUUAAUUCGAAGCAACGCGAAGAACCUUACCAGGUCUUGACAUCUUUUGAUCACCUGAGAGAUCAGGUUUCCCCUUCGGGGGCAAAAUGACAGGUGGUGCAUGGUUGUCGUCAGCUCGUGUCGUGAGAUGUUGGGUUAAGUCCCGCAACGAGCGCAACCCUUAUGACUAGUUGCCAGCAUUUAGUUGGGCACUCUAGUAAGACUGCCGGUGACAAACCGGAGGAAGGUGGGGAUGACGUCAAAUCAUCAUGCCCCUUAUGACCUGGGCUACACACGUGCUACAAUGGAUGGUACAACGAGUUGCGAGACCGCGAGGUCAAGCUAAUCUCUUAAAGCCAUUCUCAGUUCGGACUGUAGGCUGCAACUCGCCUACACGAAGUCGGAAUCGCUAGUAAUCGCGGAUCAGCACGCCGCGGUGAAUACGUUCCCGGGCCUUGUACACACCGCCCGUCACACCAUGAGAGUUUGUAACACCCGAAGCCGGUGGCGUAACCCUUUAGGGAGCGAGCCGUCUAAAGGUGAACCAAAAAU